UACGGGGGGGGCAAGCGUUGUUCGGAAUUACUGGGCGUAAAGGGCCAGUAGGCGGCCAACUAAGUCGGAUGUGAAAUCCCCAGGCUCAACCUGGGAACUGCAUCCGAUACUGGAUGGCUUGAAUUCGGGAGAGGGAUGCAGAAUUCCAGGUGUAGCGGUGAAAUGCGUAGAUAUCUGGAGGAAUACCGGUGGCGAAGGCGGCAUCCUGGACCGGUAUUGACGCUGAGGCGCGAAAGCUAGGGGAGCAAACGGG
rnacentral:rRNA from 1 species